CACUCCAAAUUAGACUUUAGUUUCCCGUCCUCCGCCCGCGUCUCCUAGAACUGGCCGCAUGAUUUGUCCAUUAUUGCGAAGUUGUUUCCAUUAUUUGACUUUUGUGACAAACAAUUACGAAAAACCACAGUUUUCAAAUAAUCUAUCGUUCAAGAAAUACAUAUUUAUGAUACAACACGUAAAAAUCGAAAUAAAAUUCUUGAAACUUUUAUCAAAGAGGACAAAGAGCGUGAAUUUUUUUCCGUUUUCACUACGAACUGCUGAGCUACACACUCCCGUUGCAAGUUUUGAUUUUUGAACGUCAAAACCGAUAAGGUUAAUGUCCUGGCUUUCAUUUCUGCAUAAAAAAAACUCUAAAACAUUGCGUAGAAACGUGGCUGAAUGGAUAUUUAAAACCCGUAUCUAUUUCAUGAAAUAAUGGGCCGUGUUUCAACUUUCAGACACCAUAAUGGAUAAUGGAAAUGGACCGCCCGCCCGCGUGUAAUUUGAAAUAAGGGCUGGACGGGAAACUAAAGUCUAAUUUGGAGUGGCCUUUCCGUUUUUAUAUCAAUUUUUUAAAUAAGUUAGGGUUAGGUUAGGGUUAUGGUUAGGUUAGGGUUGGGGUUAGGGUUAAGUUUAAUAUUAGGGUUAGAGUUUAGUUUUGCGUUAGGAUGGUUUUUUCUACGUUAUUAAAACGGAAAUCUUAUUUUGAAGUAUACUAUCUAGC